AUGCUGGAAAGUGAGGUAAGCCGAUCCGGUUCGAGCCGAGCUGGUAGAAAGCGGUUAGCGCCUGUCGCUACAGUGGAAUCAGUAGAUCGAGUUGAAGCAGAUGUGGUGGACUCUGUUGCAGAUGAAACUAUAUCUUUAGCCGAAUGUUCCGGUGGUGAAGUUGAAUCUGUGGAGUCUGGGCCAGAGACUGACCUUUCUAGUUCCGUGUCGGAAGGGCCUCCAUUUGCGUAG
rnacentral:lncRNA from 1 species